rfam:Myotis davidii contig77946, whole genome shotgun sequence.
CUUGGGAGGGAGGGUCCCUCAGCCCAGAUUGCAAGAGGGCGCAGGCCAGGCCAAGGGACCCCACCAGUACACG